UGGCACACUGACUAGCAGUAAGAAUUACUUCUUGGAUAAGUUUGUGAUCAGAUAUCAGGAGCAAGUACCUGAGUUAUUGGAUAUCUUUCAAGGAAAAAUGGAUCUUGCGGAUGGCUUAGGGUUUGAGGAAAGAGGUGGAGCAAAAUAAUUGUUGGACGAAGCUUUGCUAAUUAUUUUUUCUUAAUUUUAUGAUUAAGAACAUCAGAAGAACCACUUGUUCAUUGAGCUUCCUUUGCCUAUGAUCAUUUCUUCAAGAAAAAAAUUGGCUGCCAUCUAGCAGAUCUAACCAGGAUUCAAUUUUCUCUGUUCACAAGUUGAGGAUUAUUCCAGGGUGUUAUGUUAUCAAGGUUCCCUGAUAUCCAGAGGCUUGGAAAAGCGAAAGUUUGGCCUUUUCAAUUCUGCCAGUAUCACCUGUGGAAUAUCUUGUGUAAGUUUGUGACAUAACAUCAGUAUACUUUGUCUCAAACAUUGGAUGUCUAUGUCUGUGGGUGCAUGGAUCAUCUCAACCCAGGCUUUGGAGUUAUUGAAGAAAUGUGUGCAACGAAAACCUUGUAAAACAAGCGUGGAUAUCUUACAAGACCAUUCUGUUAAAAUUUUGUCUACUGUAGCAUAUGUUCUUUAGAGUUUUGCUGAUAUGUAACACUUCACUGUAGCUGUUUCAGUCUAUACUUAUUUUUUCAGUAACAUUACCCUCUUAUUUCA